CGGUGGAGUAUGUGGUUUAAUUCGAUGCAACGCGAAGAACCUUACCUGGCCUUGACAUGUCGAGAACUUUCCAGAGAUGAUGUCCGCUCGAACAGGUGUGACGAGCGCAACCCUUGUCCUUAGUUGCCAGCGGGAUGUCAAGUAUCACGGCCCUUACGGCCAGGCUACAUACAUGGUAGGGACAAGGGCUGCAAGCCGGCGACGGUAAGCCUCCCAGAAACCCUAUCUCAGUCCGGAUUGGAGUGCAACUCGACUCCAUGAAGUCGGAAUCGCUAGUAAUCGAGAUCAGCAUUGCUGCGGUGAAUACGUUCCCGGGCCUUGUACACACCGCCGUCACACCAUGGGAGUUUGUUGCACCAGAAGCAGGUAGCUUAACCUUCGGGAGGGCGCUUGCCACGUGUGGCCGAUGACUGGGGUGAAGUCGUACAAGGU
rnacentral:rRNA from 1 species